rnacentral:rRNA from 4 species
AUGCAUGUGUCAGUACAGGCCGCUCUAAGGCUAAACCGCGAAUGGCUCAUUAAAUCAGUUAUGGUUCAUUUGAUCAAAACCCAAUUACUUGGAUAACCCUGGUAAUUCUAGAGCUAAUACGUGACAACGACUACCCCGACUGGAAGGGAGGGGUGCUUUUAUUAGAUGAAAACCAAUCGGGCCUCGGUCCGCAAACACAAACCGUGAUGAUUCUGAAUAACUUUGUGCCGAGAGCACGGUCUCCGCACCGGCUCCGUAUCUUUCGAGUUUCUGCCUUAUCAUGCUGUGGAUUGUAGGCCAUGCGCCUACAGUGGCUGUUACGGGUGACGGAGAAUCAGGGUUCGAUUCCGGAGAGGGAGCCUGAGAAACGGCUACCACA